rnacentral:rRNA from 1 species
AACGUUCCGUGGGUGAACCUGCGGAAGGAUCAUUA